rnacentral:rRNA from 1 species
AUUGAACGCUGGCGGCAGGCCUAACACAUGCAAGUCGAGCGAGAGGCGGACGGGUGAGUAUUGUCUGGGAAACUGCCUGCUGUAGGGGGAUAACUACUGGAAACGGUAUCUAAUACCGCAUACCCUCACAUUUGCCCAGAUGGGAUGAGCUGGUAGGUGGGGUAACGGCUCACCUAGGCGCCGAUCCCUAGCUGGUCUGAGAGGAUGACCAGCCACACUGGAACUGGGACACGGCCCAGACUCCUACGGGAGGCAGCAGUGGGGAAUAUUGCACAAUGGGCGCAGGCCUGAUGAAGCCAUGCCGCGUGUGUGAAGAAGGCCUUCGGGUUGUAAAGCACUUUCAGCGGGGAGGCGUUACCCGCAGAAGAAGCACCGGCUAACUCCGUGCCAGCAGCCGCGGUAAUAC